rnacentral:rRNA from 1 species
UACGUAGGAGGCGAGCGUUAUCCGGAUUUACUGGGCGUAAAGCGAGCGCGGGCGGCUUUUUAAGUCGGAUGUGAAAUCUCCCGGCUCAACUGGGAGGGGACAUCCGAUACUGGGGAGCUAGAGUGCAGCAAAGGAAAGUGGAAUUCCCGGUGUAGUGGUGAAAUACGUAGAUAUCGGGAGGAACACCAGUGGCGAAAGCGGCUUUCUGGGCUGCUACUGACGCUGAGGCUCGAAAGCGUGGGGAG